rnacentral:rRNA from 1 species
CACGGGGGGAGCAAGCGUUGUUCGGAUUCAUUGGGCGUAAAGGGCUCGUAGGUGGCUUUGUAAGUCGGAGGUGAAAUCCCACGGCUCAACCGUGGACACGCCUUCGAAACUGUGAAGCUUGAGGCUGGGAGAGGAGAUCGGAAUUCUCGGUGUAGCGGUGAAAUGCGUAGAUAUCGAGAGGAACACCUGCGGCGAAGGCGGGUUGCUGGGCUGACACUGACGCUGAUGCGCGAAAGCUAGGGGAGCGAACGGG